rnacentral:rRNA from 1 species
GACGAACGCUGGCGGCGUGCUUAACACAUGCAAGUCGAACGGAAAGGCCCUGCUUUUGUGGGGUGCUCGAGUGGCGAACGGGUGAGUAACACGUGAGUAACCUGCCCUUGACUUUGGGAUAACUUCAGGAAACUGGGGCUAAUACCGGAUAGGAGCUCCUGCUGCAUGGUGGGGGUUGGAAAGUUUCGGCGGUUGGGGAUGGACUCGCGGCUUAUCAGCUUGUUGGUGGGGUAGUGGCUUACCAAGGCUUUGACGGGUAGCCGGCCUGAGAGGGGGACCGGGCACAAUGGGACUGAGGUACGGCCCCGACUCCUACGGGGGGCAACGGGGGGGAAUAUUGCACAAUGGGCGGGAGCCUGAGUCGAAAACGCCGGGUGGGGGAAGACGGCCUUCGGGUUGUAAACCGCUUUCGGCUGUGACGAAGCGGGAGUGACGGUAAUGGGUAAAGAAGCACCGGCUAACUACGUG